CAGCAGGCGCGAAAACUUUGCAAUACACGAAAGUGUGACAGGGUCAUCCCGAGUGCCGACCGCUGAGGUUGGCUUUUACCCAGUCCAGAAAGCUGGGGGAAUAAGGAGAGGGCAAGUCUGGUGUCAGCCGCCGCGGUAAUACCAGCUCUCCGAGUGGUGUGGACGUUUAUUGGGCCUAAAGCAUCCGUAGCUGGCUGAACAAGUCCCCUGUUAAACCCACCGAUUUAAUCGUUGGUCUGCGGGGGAUACUGCUCGGCUAGGGGACGAGAGAGGCAGACGGUAUUCCCGGGGUAGGGGUGAAAUCCUAUAAUCCCGAGAAGACCACCAGUGGCGAAGGCUGUCUGCUAGAACGCGCCCGACGGUGAGGGAUGAAAGCUGGGGGAGCGAACCGGAUUAGAUACCCGGGUAGUCCCAGCUGUAAACGAUGCAGACUAGGUGUUUGGACGGCCACGUGCCGUUCUAGUGCCGCAGGGAAGCUGUUAAGUCUGCCGCCUGGGGAGUACGAUCACAAGAUUGAAACUUAAAGGAAUUGGCGGGGGAGCAC
rnacentral:rRNA from 1 species